GCAUUUAAACUUCCCUCUUAGAACUGCUCUUGUGGCAUCCCAUAAGUUUUGAACCCAUUAAAAGAGCCAGUAAAUCCAGUGGAAAAUGGCCUUCAGUGAUCUUACAUCGAGGACUGUGCAUCUUUAUGAUAAUUGGAUCAAAGAUGCUGGUUGAUUCUUACCUAUCACCUAGAAAUUGCAAGUCUAUCAAAUUCAGGAGGGAAAUGCACCACCUCUUGGCACCUACCACAGUUGAAAUUAUAUUCAAAUUUACAAUGAUUUCAGCAAAGAUACCCUGUUUCAUGGUUUGCAGCUUUCUCAGUAGCUGCUAAAAACCAAAUUUAUUUCACUAAAAAUGUUCCCAACAGUUUUUCCUUUGAGGAACGCCAAGGCUCUUUCUUCUUCAUUUCGUUGGUACUUGGUAUCUUAAAGCUGUACUGUUUGAGCCAGUACAUGCUACUUAAGAAGAGAACACUCUCUUAGAAGCUCAUUAAUAUUCUAUGGAAAAGCUCAUUAAUAUUCUAUAUCCAAGAGUUGAAGAUUGGCUCCUCAUGUCCUCGCCUCUGCCGCAAACCAUCCUUCUAGGAUUCUAUGUCUAUUUUGUCACUUCUCUGGGACCAAAGCUCAUGGAAAAUCGCAAGCCCUUUGAACUCAAGAAAGUGAUGAUAACGUACAAUUUUUUAAUAGUACUCUUUUCUGUGUAUAUGUGUUAUGAGUUUGUGAUGUCUGGCUGGGGUAUAGGUUAUUCAUUUCGAUGUGAAAUUGUUGACUAUUCACAGUCACCCACAGCUUUGAGGAUGGCACGUACCUGCUGGCUUUAUUACUUCUCCAAAUUUGUUGAGCUAUUAGAUACGAUCUUUUUUGUUCUGCGCAAGAAAAAUAACCAAGUGACUUUCCUUCAUGUAUUCCAUCAUACCAUCAUGCCGUGGACCUGGUGGUUUGGAGUCAAAUUUGCUGCAGGUGGUUUGGGAACAUUCCAUGCCCUUCUAAAUACAGCUGUACAUGUAGUCAUGUAUUCCUACUACGGACUGUCUGCACUGGGACCAGCCUACCAGAAGUAUUUGUGGUGGAAAAAAUAUUUGACAUCAUUACAGCUUGUCCAGUUUGUUAUUGUCACCAUCCACAUAAGCCAGUUCUUUUUCAUGGAGGAUUGCAAGUAUCAGUUUCCAGUCUUUGCGUGCAUCAUAAUGAGUUACAGUUGCAUGUUUCUGCUGCUCUUUCUCCAUUUUUGGUACCGUGCUUACACCAAAGGUCAGAGGUUGCCCAAAACUGUGAAAAAUGGAACUUGCAAAUACAAAGAUAACUGAAGCCCAACAUAAGUCUAUGAUCGAAACUGAUACAUUGUCUUCCUUGACAAUCAAGAGAUAUUUGCCUAUGCAGUGCAUUUUGUAUAUUUUUCAAAACUAAGAGCUUGUAUUUUUAUGAUAAGUUAUUGGGAUGUCUGAUAUUUGAAAGCCCGAAGCUUCCAGAUAACAGUCUUCUGAUAAUUAGAGCCUACAGCAUCCAGAAGUUGUUUUUUUUUUUUUUAGCUGCUUUUAAAGCUAAUCCAAAGGUUUUGUUUAACACAUUUUGUUACAGUGCAAAAAGAUAUGAAGCAAUACAGUACUCUUCAAGGAAGUCCAGUAAAGAUGAAAAAUAUCAUUAGAUAUUUUGAGCACAGACAGAGAUCCAUGUGUUACAAUAGAUUCCUUCUGCCGGGCCUGGAAAGUCUGGAAACCAACCAUAGGCCCUAGCUUUGUCAUUUAUUGGCUGUAUUCAGAAGAUGCUAUGUUUGCUCUAGAGUUAACUCCCAUUUUAGCAAUCUAGCACAGGUGAAAAUUGAGUGAGUUUUUGAUAACUUGUCAUUCAAAAUCAUUACUGAUAAUUUUCAAUGGAUCUUUUGAGUAGCCAUCACCAGUUUUGCUGAUAAGACUUCCUCACAACCCAUUUGUUGUACAAACUGUUUCAGAGUAACCAUACUUUGGGUUAGUACACUAAUGCACUUGACACCAAGUUUCAUUCAGCUGAUUAUUUUGAAAACAAGGUGAUUUGUUUUAAUGGGUUAAUGAACACUUUGCUAUUACUGUUUUACAAUUAACUUUGUAGAUCUCUGGAAAGAGGUGAAUUUGUCAAUGAAAAAAGUACUGUGUGGUUCAGUGGGAAAAACCUGUUGUCUGUUAUAGUAUCACAUCACUGUCUUACAUUGUCAUGGUUUAAAUUAUUAUCUUGGUUAAAUAUAUAGGUUAGAUACUUAAAUGUUCAUAUCAUGAGCACACUACAGGUACUACCCUUAAAUUAUAAAUAAUAUUACCCAUUGUACACAGUUUCCAGAUAUGGUUUAGAGUGGCUGUGAAGCAACUAGAGGCAAAUUGUGGCACAGAGAAUAUCCAGGGGAAAAUUGAUUAUGUAAGCAAGGGCUGUUCUACUUUGAGAGAGAGACAGACAGACUAUAUAAUAGUUAUAGAUUAUAUAAUUAAUGUUAUAGAUACACUGACCAAUAAAGUAUUUUCUGGAAUUAUGAAUUAAUUAACAACCUGGAUUUCUGUUUCCAGACCUAUAAACCAUGUAAUGAAAGACUGAAAUUCAUUUGGCAUAGGCUUUGUUUCUUUAAAAUUGCUACUUUCUAAAAUUCUGUUAUUUUUACAUUUUCCUGUUAGAGAAUCAAAACUACUAGUCAGUAGAGUUUUGUCCAAGAAAUAACAAUAUUUGGACAUUUGUGAAUUUUUCCCUAUUUUUUUCUUCUUUUAUUUAUAGUCAAUUUUGAAGGACUGUUUAUGUUUGUAGGACUUUAAACAACUAGUACUUAAAGCCCCAGUGAAUGUUGAACACACAGAGAUACUUAUUGUACAACAAUGCCUAAGUUUUACUCAAUACCAUGGCCUUUUAUGUUUACACUUAGCAGAUUCAUAAGGUUAUUUGCCUUUAAGUGAUCUCUUGUGAUUUUACUUGAUUACUGUAUGAGAAGGUAAAGGUUGAUAAAUGGGAGUAAUUAUAUAUAUAACAUUUUUUUUUUUUUUUUCUGAAGCAGAGUUUUACUCUUGUUGACCAGGCUAGAGUGCAAUGGCGCGAUCUUGGCUCACUGCGACCUCGCCUCUCUGGUUCAAGUGAUUCUCCUGCCUCAGCCUCCCAAGUAGCUGGGAUUACAGGCGCCUGCCACCACGCCCAGCUGAUUUUUGUAUUUUUAGUAGAUACAGGGUUGGCCAGGCUGGUCUCGAACUCCUGACCUCAGGUGAUCCUCCCACCUCGCGCUCCCAAAGUGCUGGGAUUACAGGGGUGAGCCACUGCGCCCGGCCAUAAUUUUAUAUUUUUAGAAAAAAAAGAAUAAAGGACAAAAAAGCACAGCUAAAUGAAACUACUGCUCUAAUUUAUUCCACUGGAAAGGUCUCAGGACUCCUUAACUGUUUUCCAGGUUUGGCUCUUCAUAUCUAACCUGUGCUAAAAUGAGAAGGUAUGCUAGGUGCUGUUAUAAAUCACACCAUUUUCAAAGACCCCAAGUAGUAUAGAGACCAAAAUGAGGCAAGAAUAAAGAGAUGAAACAGGAGAGUUUAUUUCUUGCAUACUUUCCGACCUUCAUCAUACAACCUCUCCUAACCUCCCCGUAGUCUUUAAAAUGUUUAACUUGCCUAUGAGCUAACAUGUAAUAAAGCACGUACUCAAUUAUAUGAAUAGAAGUGGAGAGCCAGAAUGCUACAAAAGAAAUCACGGCUGCUAGAAGUAUCCUCCAUAGAAACAUCAACAUGAUUGUGGAUCAAAAUGAUUUUCACUGGAUAUAGAAUUUGUAUGGAGCCAUAUUUACUAAAAGAGUUAUGUUUGGUCACAUAGAGUUCUUUUGGGAUUUCAUCCCACUUUUCAGGACUUAAUUUGUUUGGGUUUGCUUACCUAACCAGCAACAACAACAAAAUAAGCAGUUCCAAAAUCUAGUUUAUUACAUAAAUCUCUAUGAAUCCUUGAGGGCCUAUAUCUAUAUUAUAAAUAAACACAAAUAUAGAUUUUUAAAUAUAUAUGGGACUUUGCCAUUUACAGCCUUAAUUAUAAAAUUAUGAGAUUAUAUUCUCUCCAUUACCCUUUAUUUCUGUUAACUUUUUAAAGACUGGAACAUUCUGUGGAUGUUGUCAAAGUUUGAGUUUGUUUUUCCGUGUACUAUAAUAAAUUUGUGAUAUCGCAUGUAUA